UGUCAGUCUCCAGGUGUUCUUUUGCUGUUGUUCUGUCCUCUCCUAUUUUCUGGAAUGUGUCCUCUCUGGUUCACACUGACUAAUGUUUCUCUGGCUGUUUAAAUGUGGGUUUACUCUGUUCCACUAUUCUGAUUCCCUGAGGCUCAGUCUUUUAUAAAAAGGCUGGCAUUGUGCUGGUGCAGUGGGUUAAGUCAUUGCCUGUAACACUGGAACCCACAGGAGUGCCAGUUGGAGUCCUAUGCUGCUUGGUGGCUCUGUUGUGCAUAAUUUUAUUUAUUUCUCUUCAUAUUCCUCUUAAGCCCUCCCAUAACACAUUGUCAUAUUUAUUUUGUAGAUGAGAAAAUCUAGGGAGCUAUUUUUGUUGAAUGAUGUUUCUAAGAAAAAGAUCCAGUCAGAAGGUGUGGUUGUGUAUCACUGAAUGUAUCACUCAGGCUUUCUUAGGUGUAUGAACAUAAUUAGAAAAGUCAUAGGAAAGUAACUGAACUCCCAAGAGAAAGUGAUGGAAAUAAAAUUAUAGUAAUUAACUAUGUCUGUCUCUGACAGGUUAUAUGUAUCAAAAAAUGUCCUCAGUCAACAUUGUGCAGUAGAUGCAUGGUGGGCGUCUGGUUACCUGUUUUUCUUCAGUUAAUGAUGUGAAAGAGACUGCAUUGCCAUGAUUAAAUCCCCGGGACUCUCAGUUCUUUAGGGAUAGGUUAUUGUGGCUCACAAAAGUGCCUUGAAUAUGAUGGAUCUUAUGGUUCUCAAAUGUGAUAAUAUUUGGUGGUCUACUGUUUAAUAAUUACUGUUACUGUGAGCUCUGAAUAUGGGUGGGCUGGGAUUGUUAACAAACUCCAUUCUCAAGUGAAGAAUGACAGAGAUUUCUACCCCUCCACCCCACCCCAAAAUGAAAGAAUGGUAAGAAAUUUUAUUUUGGGAUAGUAACUUCUAAUUUCUUCCACAUAAGGUUUUGAUAUCUAUAAAACCUUAAUUUCCCCUCUUACCUAAGGAUAAAGUUCUCAGACGAGCAUUUUUCUGUGUUUUGAAAUGGAAAUCACCAGGAGAAAAAUCUUUUGUACAUCCCUGUAAGUGUUCAGAAGUCAGAGCUGUAGUCUCUGCCAACCAGAAAAUUGAGCAGCCUUGAACCUUCCCUUCCAUAUUUUCUGCGAAUAAGGAAAAUGAGAUGGUGGUGGAGAAAGUUGUGGAAAUGGGAACUGAACAUGACACUAUGGUUUUAGAGGGAAAAGAUAACCUGAGCGUCCUCAUACUUGUGAGUUUGUUUUAAUGACCAAUGGGAAUAGUGAUUACGGUAGUAAGUAAAAAGGCAUAUUUUAAAUAAAAGCAUUAAGUAAAUAUUAGAUCCAGUAUUCGUUUCAGAAAAAAAAAAUCAAUGUAAAAUGCUGAGCAAAUGACAAGUUUGAGAAGCCUGUGUGCUAAAUAAAAUCUUACUGAAAACUAGCAGUUCUGUUUAUAGGUAACAUUGUGUUAGAAUCUGACUUCUACACAUCUGGAAGGUAAAACAUUAAUUGCAAAGUUUGUUCUUG